UACGUAGAGAGCAAGCGUUGUCCGGAAUUACUGGGCGUAAAGGGUACGCAGGCGGAUAGGCAAGUCAACUGUGAAAUAUACCGGCUUAACCGGUAAGGUGCAUUUGAAACUGCCUAUCUUGAGUGCAGAAGAGGAGAGCGGAAUUCCUAGUGUAGCGGUGGAAUGCGUAGAUAUUAGGAAGAACACCAGUGGCGAAGGCGGCUCACUGGCCAGAUACUGACGCUGAGGUGCGAAAGCGUGGGGAGCAAACAGG
rnacentral:rRNA from 1 species